UAAGAGCAUCCUGUGGAGUUCUUUCUACUAUGAAUAAAUCUAUUCUGCACUUCUGAAGAACAUGCUUUUUCUGACAAAGUCAGCCAUUCAGCAGCCACACUGUCCAGUGGAGAGUUAUGGGAUCUGGAUGCAGGAUCUGUCCUUACUUCUGAGUUAUUAAGUCAGGAAGCAGCAGUAAGGUCCAUAAAGAGAAACCCCUUCUUGAGAAAGUGGACUGAAUUACAACAUCCUUUAUAGACCAGUCAUGAUUGAUCACACAUUUCCUGCUAAAGCUCUCUACCAAUCCAUGGAAGAUGCACAGCUGUUAAGGUCAUCCAUAAGGGUUCCUCACCCUAAGGAGGAUGCUUCCAUCACUACAGUCUUCGACAGAGAUGGAGGAGAGAAGGGAAUGCCUUUUCAGACUUGUAUUGGGUCCACCCCCAUUUCAAUAACAGCAGGACUUUUGGUGGAAUAGGCACCCACAUGUCCAGGGAUGGUUGCCUAGCUGAUAUAUUGCCUACACACAUGGGCAGCACGUAAUGGAGGCUGGGGGAGGCUAAGCCUCCCCAAACCUCGCACCAGGGAUGGAAUGGCGGAAUUGGAAUUGGUCAUGAACAGCAAACUGCAGCCACUGGGAGCUGCCUGCGGAUGGUCAACAUCAG